CUGAAGAUGUUACAACCAUUGCUCUCAAUGGCCAUAACCAGCGUCUAAAUGUGCUACCCCAGGAAUCGUCUACAACCCUUAAAGAGCCGAUUGGAAUAGUCUAUUCAGAGAACUCAACCAAAUCUCUUCAAAAUUCUGGU